AUGGUUUUGGGGGACUUCAAUGAAAUUUUGUACUCAUCAGAGAAGGACGGGGGCCCUGCUCGUCAGCAGUCCCAUUUACAGGCUUUCCAAGACACCUUAUCUGAUUGCUCAUUAGUGGAUGUUGGAUAUAAUGGAGAUAAAUUUACAUGGUUUCGAGGGGGGUUACGUGAGAGGCUUGACCGAGUGGUUACUAAUGCCGCUUGGCUUCUGUUGCAUCCAUCCGCUGGACUUUGUAAUCUGGACAUGGGCAAGUCAGACCACUGACCGAUUCUUAUGGAUACCGAGUAUCUAACAGGGGUGGCAGCAAGCAACCCUAUAAGAGAGAAGAAAUUUGAAAUGAGAUGGUUGGCAGAAGAAUCAGUAAAUGAGAUUAUUAACACGACAUGGUAG
rnacentral:rRNA from 1 species